rnacentral:miRNA from 1 species
AUUGUCACCUUUUUGAGUAGA